UCUCCGCCCUCCCCGCACAGGAGGACGGAUCGAGGGAGCGGCGCACUCUGCCUGACUGCGCAGGCACCUCGCACCGGCCGCCGGGAACCGCACACCUGACGGCCGUAAGUACUCCGGGCUACGGUGCCGGGCGGGUUGAGGGUCCCGUCCUGCACC
rnacentral:ncRNA from 1 species